rnacentral:antisense_RNA from 14 species
CUAUGGCGGGCCGUGUGAGGCGGGCUUCGGCCCGGCCGGUUCCCUUGGUUCCCGGUUUACCACCCUUGCACGGUCCGCCUCCAU